rnacentral:rRNA from 1 species
GGCGAACGCUGGCGGCGUGCUUAACACAUGCAAGUCGAACGGAAAGGCCCUGCUUUUGUGGGGUGCUCGAGUGGCGAACGGGUGAGUAACACGUGAGUAACCUGCCCUUGACUUUGGGAUAACUUCAGGAAACUGGGGCUAAUACCGGAUAGGAGCUCCUGCUGCAUGGUGGGGGUUGGAAAGUUUCGGCGGUUGGGGAUGGACUCGCGGCUUAUCAGCUUGUUGGUGGGGUAGUGGCUUACCAAGGCUUUGACGGGUAGCCGGCCUGAGAGGGUGACCGGGAAGAAUGGGAGAGAGGUGCGGCCGAGACGACGACGGGAGGCAGCAGUGGGGAGGGCGGCACAAUGGGCUGGGGCCUGAUGCAGCCACGCGGCGUGGGGGAAGGCGGGCGGCGGGUUGUGAACAGCUUUCGCCUGUGAAAGAGCGUGAGUGACGGGAAGGGGUAAAGAAGCAACGGCUAACUACGUG